UCCACACCUCCUCCUGGUUCCACCUCCAUCACUCUUCCACCAUCACUCUCUCCUCCUGUUCUCUCUGUGUUGUCAUGUGUUGGAUCAGUCUGUGUUGUGGUUCUACUGGUGUUACUGGUUCUGCUAGUGAGACGAUGUGUUCACAGGAAACGUGAAGAAGGUGAUCCAGCUGUAAUCUAUUCAGCAAGGAGAAUUGAAGAUGUUAGUUAUGAACACAUAAUCAUCACACCAAAGAUGAAAAGAGACUUUAAACCUGAACCAGACGUCGUCUACUCUUCGCUAAGGUAGUCCACCAGUCCAGCCACUGACGUCCAGCUGCUGGUCUCUAUCUGGUCCCCCAGCACCU